rnacentral:lncRNA from 1 species
GUCUCAUGCAAAUUUGUCGUGUAGGAAAGAGGUUGGUGGAUUACGUCAGGUGAAAUCCUCAGCUGCAUCCUGAUCAAGGUAUAAAAAGUCAGUCUGAAGCACAAUAUAGCAAUACUCCUACUUUGCCUUACAGGACAGAAGUUGUACAAGUGAAGAAUGAAUAUCUCUGCUCUGUUGGUGUUUAUUUCUGCUGUCGUGUCUGUUUAUGGGUAUUAUGAACUGCCCUGCUCUGACUGCAAUCAUCCUUGUACUGCUGAUCGCUUGAAAAACGUCACAGAACAAUUAUUCGAGCACAUGAACUUUACCGACUGCAAAGAGAACGAACACUUUUCAAAAAGAGCCAAUCCUACCUGGAAGUGCGAGUAAGUGUUCUUACAAUUAAUUCAGUUAUUUUUAUGCUAGUAACAUUUCUUAUGUGUAGUAAUAUUAGAUUAGAGGCUGUUGGGUGUUGAGGACUCAAAGUACAAAGUGUUUAUAUGGAAGACCCCCCUUAUUUGCUUUUUUUGGUUCAUUAUUAUUAUUUCAUUUAAUAGCUUUAUAAGGUUAUUUACUGUUAUUUUAUUUAAUGUCAUCUAAACAUGUUUAAUUAGGUAGUU